CAGUGGCCCAGCCUACUGAGCCUAACAUGCCCACGCAGCAGUGGGAGUGGCAGUGGCAGUGAGCUGUCAUUAUCCAGUGCUUGUAGUGAAUACUCCAGUGGCUCCCACACUUGGGCAGAGGGGCGUGGCAUCUCCAAGCAGUGUGGAGGCAGCCGGGACAAAAGGAUGAGCACAGGUUCAGUAUCCAGCAAUCAUUCAGCACCCAUUGCACAAACAGACCUGGAAUGGAAGGAAGGCCACAUUUUGAAAGGCUUAAAGCGUCUUCAGAUGUCCAACCCCAAAGAGGUACCCUCCAUUGCAUCUGUGCCUCACUGCAAAGACUGUAUGACCUCAAAUGAAGGCAUAUAUUCACUUGGUGUCAAGUGUGCCCAACAAGGAACUACUGCUAAGCAAUUAUCUUUGACUAAACCUUUCAAGGCUGAGUCGGGUAUUGCUACCCUUGACUCUGAUGAUACAGAUGACAACAGGCAAUCCAGCGACCAGCCAACUAAAGAACUUCUUUGCUUGGACAAACUGGAUGUCACCAUGGAUGCUGAUAAAAACUUUCUGGAAGAUCCUGUGAAACUUUUAGGGAAUUCUGGUCUUUUCCCCUCACCUGUCACAGACAACUUUUUAUUUUUGGAGGGCCCCUCAGUACAGCCCGGUGUAAGCCCAACUGGUAGUCUUACACGCUCAGAUGAAAUGAACAAGGACUCACUAGAAAAACACAAACCUUCAGGCAUAAAGUUUAGUGACAGAAACAACAACCAGGAAAGGUCGACUGACCGUAAAUCAAGACUCGAUCAUGUCAAAAGACAACAGGGCAGACUUACCCUGAGGCAAGUGGAAGCACAGACAAGUGAUGUGAGCUCAUCCAUUCAGCAUACUGCAACAAGAGCUCUGAGCUGUGUGAAUGAAGCCAGACAGCGCAGCUCCUCAAUGGAGGUUCCACACUGUAGAGAUCAGGCAAGUCAAGCUGGUAGUGAAAGCCAGGAAUACACUAUCUCAGAAUCUCCACAGAGGAAACUGAAACCUCAGCUUUGUGACUCAGCAAGGAAGGCUUUCAUUCUGCGGAGCAAGAGUGCAGAUGGAGCACAGGAGCAACCUAAGCAUACACAUUCUCCACUACAUCAAAAGCUUUUUAAGGGGCACAGGUCCAAGGGACAGUCAAACUCAAACCCUACUGGGCACAGUGUGCACAACAAAAGGACGAAUCUCAAUAAAACCCAUGCUUCAAGCAAGGGCACAUUAAGUACAGCAGAAAAAGAUGAGGAUAUUGUAGUACCAACCAAUUCCAAGUCUCUGGAGAGUGUUCACCAGUGCUCUCCACUGGCUUCCCCUGUGAAACAUUCAAAGACAUUUAAGGCUCCAGGUGUCAAUGAAGGCGCAAAGAGUCCAACAAAAUCUUCCUUGCCAAUCACUCGGCAUCAAUCAGGCAAUAGCUCCACAAGAGAGAGUCUCUAUGACAACGUACCCUGCUCGCCUCGAAAACAACAACCACAAGACCAGCACUGUGAUGUUUCCCAUUCAAAACAUAGGUCCCCAUCUCCACCACUACCACCAGGUCGAACUGCUUCACUUUUCAAUAGACCCAGCUGUGACAACUUACCUAAAGAUCAAAACUCUGAUGGUCAGACUCAAAGCUCUGGGAAGACGGCAUCAACUAAGACACAAUCAAAUCAGCCUCAACAACCCAGUACAAUAAAGGACAAUCAACAUACAGCAACACAAAUGGGUGCUGAAGGUAAACCACUGAAAGAGACUCCUGCCAAAAUCCACCAUACCUACACAUCUAAGGUCCCAAAUCAAGAACCGCAAGCUGCAGAGUCAGUCCAGGUAUCCACAGACAGAUCUGCUAUACGCCUUGAAGAAAAUGGUGCUCACUCUCUGUUGCCAAAUCAGAAAGUUUUGCAAAGAUCCCCACAGAGCAUUAGUGAGCCAAAACUUUCAGAGGUCCUGCCUCCGUCUUACUCCAAUGUUUACUACCAUGGGAUUGGCAAUAAUCCCCAGACUUCCGCCUCAAGAGCUGUGAAAAGGACUCUCCCUGUAAAUGCUAAAUCUCACGAGGCAAUCACUCAACAGGAAACAAGUACCUUCCUCAUUUUUGGAAAACAAAACAAAGAUGAUGCAAAAAGCAUGCAGACCUUUCAGACCUUCUGUUGUGAUCCUCAGAUGGUACCUGACUGUGGUGCACAUGACAAAGUCCGCAGAAAGAUUGAUACCCGCUGUAACUCACUGGAUUCUGAGCCCUCUGUUCAACCUGUUGCCUCAGACAGUGGCUUGAUGUUGGAUUGGGGAUUCGACGAGGAAGGGUGGCUUUUUAAACGGUCUGUGUCUGUGUCUACCAGACCUCCUCUUAAACCUGUAAUGGGCAUGAAUGGGGCCAAGGCUCGUAGUCAGAGUUUUGGUGCUCGCUACAUGGACAGACCAAGUUUCAAUAGAUCUGGCAAGGUCCGCACCCAGAUCAAAACACACUCAGGGAGCUCUUUGAACUCUCUCGGUGAUGUGCUUCCAGGAAGCAUGAGUUGCUCCAGUAGCUACCAUUGUCCAAUGAAUCGAUCCCUUUUGAAUAACUUCUUGAUUGAGGAGGGAUUGGCAGUCCCCUCACAUUUGGGGUCCUCCAGUGAAAGGCUUCAAAGCCUUAAACUCCAACGGGAGCAGGCUAGACGCCUUCAGAUUGAGCAACAGUUUUCCAGCGCCUUUGGAGAGCCAGUUUCUGAAGAGCCAGAGAGACAAAGCACUAUAACCACUAUUGAAGAGAAAGUGAUGCUUGGCAUAGAGGAGAACUUGCACAAGUCUCAGGAACAGGAGAGAAUUGUUGAAGUGAAGCAGAAAUCUGGAUCGAGCUUAGCAAACUGGUUUGGUUUUAGAAAAAGUAAACUUCCUGCUCCAAGCAGUAAAAAAACUGACCCACCGAAAGCAAAAGAGGAGAAGAGGGAACAAAAGAUUACAUCACUUCUGGGUGGAAAGCAGACAAAGUCAGACAAAAAGAGAGACAGAAGAAAAAGUGAUGGGAAAGACUGCUCAGUGGGGAGAAGAGAGUCUCAUGAUGCAGUACGGGCUUGCAUCUCAAUGCCCUGUCCAGGAAUGUCCCUGAGUGAGAUACAAGGACAUACUGAGCUCACUGGGGACCCAAAGGUAAUGAUGAACCGAAGAGCUGAUGGUGAAAACGGAUCCUCAGUGAAGAGCCCCAACCAGGAUGCAGUAAUAGGCUCUGGCUGCAAGAUGCGAACGUUGGACAGUGGAAUUGGGACCAUCCCCCUUCCUGAAUCCUGUUCCUUCUUCUCCUCCAUCCUGCACUUCCUCCCCAAAUCCUCAUCAACCCCAGAACCGUCCCUCAGUCCUCCCAGUGUCCCCGGUUCCUCCAGCGAGGAUGUGUCUCCCUCCCCAUUACCCCGGUGGAGAAUACCCUCCAGCUUUAAGGACAGCAGCCAUGCAGGGGUGCCGAACUCCCUGUCCGACUCCUCCAUGACCCAUAUCCAGUCAGUGCCUUUCCCCACUGUGGCCUUCCUCCAGCCCAUCCAAUCCCCGUCUGAACCCAUUAUGAUCUCUGCCAGUGUGUGUGAUACCCAGAGCAGGCUACCCAGACCACCACAAGGUGGAAUGGAACCAAAGAAGCUGACCUACAUCAAAUCAAAAACACGAGCCACUCCGAGCCAGCAGAAAGAACAGGCGAGACUUCAACUUGCAAACUAAUUUUUGAAGCUGGAUGAGUCAACCUGAACUAAGGAGGCGACCAAUCUGUCGGAAUUAUCACUCUUCCACACAUGGAGGAUCCCUAAAAUCCCACAGCUUGGACACUGCAUGUGUGUAUCCGGAUAAAAAAAACAUUCAGAACUGGACAACAAGUGAGCUUGGCAUUGUAAGCUUCCACCUGUGCUCAGUGUACUGUGAAGAUACUGAAGAGCCUUUCAGGUGUAGUAACAAGCUGAAUGGCAGCCAUUUUGGAGGUCUGCACCAGCACCACUGGCACCAAGAGUGAGCAGCUGAUUGAAUUUUUAAAUGUACGACUCCCCAGAGGUGCACACAUGGUUUAUUCUUUUUCUCGGCAAAACAGUUGUACAAAAAAUAACCACAACCCUGAUAAAUACAUAGUUUGUUUUAGCAGCAAAACUACAAAACCAUAAUACAAAUGUUGUAUCUUAAAAAUUAAAAUAAGUUUUCUAACUUAUUUAAAUGUUUAAGAUAAGUUUUAAUAGUGAAUCAAACAUCAACACUGAAUUAAAACAUGACACCCUGAUCUCUAAUGUAAACUUGUAGUUUCUACACAUAACCAUUAACCACAUUUUCUGGAAAAUAACAUGAGAAUAUUUCCUGCAUUAAACUAAAUGUCAGCACUAUAACACCUCACUUUGUAGGAGUCACACAAGUGUUUAUGUCAUAAACACUUGAAGGAGUUUUGAGGCACACUAACAUUAUUGAAACAUGGUUCUUCAAGCUGUGAUAAUAACUUUUUACCUACCUGGGCUUGUUUAAUCAUAACUAGGGCAAAGCAACAAUAAGGUCAUUUAAAGGAGUAAUUUGUAAAAAAGUGUGGUACCUUUCUCGAGAAUGGGAUUGCUAUUUUUUCUAAUAAAUAUCUCUGAGAUACAGCA
ensembl:lncRNA